rfam:Pteropus alecto contig15190, whole genome shotgun sequence.
GGCUCCGUAGCGGAGCGGUGAGCACGUCCGCUUUCCACGCAGAAGGUCCUGGGUUCGCGCCCCAGUGGAGCCA